AUUGAACGCUGGCGGCAGGCUUAACACAUGCAAGUCGAGCGGGGAAAGGUAGCUUGCUACCUAACCUAGCGGCGGACGGGUGAGUAAUGCUUAGGAAUCUGCCUAUUAGUGGGGGACAACAUUCCGAAAGGAAUGCUAAUACCGCAUACGCCCUACGGGGGAAAGCAGGGGAUCUUCGGACCUUGCGCUAAUAGAUGAGCCUAAGUCAGAUUAGCUAGUUGGUGGGGUAAAGGCCUACCAAGGCGACGAUCUGUAGCGGGUCUGAGAGGAUGAUCCGCCACACUGGGACUGAGACACGGCCCAGACUCCUACGGGAGGCAGCAGUGGGGAAUAUUGGACAAUGGGCGAAAGCCUGAUUCAGCCAUGCCGCGUGUGUGAAGAAGGCCUUUUGGUUGUAAAGCACUUUAAGCGAGGAGGAGGCUACUUGGAUUAAUACUCUAGGAUAGUGGACGUUACUCGCAGAAUAAGCACCGGCUAACUCUGUGCCAGCAGCCGCGGUAAUACAGAGGGUGCGAGCGUUAAU
rnacentral:rRNA from 1 species